rnacentral:rRNA from 1 species
AUUGAACGCUGGCGGCAGGCUUAACACAUGCAAGUCGAGCGAGCGGCGGACGGGUGAGUAAUGUCUGGGCAACUGCCUGAUGGAGGGGGAUAACUACUGGAAACGGUAGCUAAUACCGCAUACCAUCAGAUGUGCCCCGAUGGGAUUGGCUAGUAGGUGGGGUAAUGGCUCACCGAGGCGACGAUCCCUAGCUGGUCUGAGAGGAUGACCAGCCACACUGGAACUGAGACACGGUCCAGACUCCUACGAUAGGCAGCAGUGGGGAAUGGUGCACAGUGGGCGCAAGCCUUGUGCAGCCAUGCCGCGUGUGUGAAGGAGGCCUUCGGGGUGUAAAGCACUUUCAGCGAGGAGGCGUUACUCGCAGAAGAAGCACCGGCUAACUCCGUGCCAGCAGCCGCGGUAAUAC